rnacentral:lncRNA from 1 species
ACAUGAGUUCUUGGAUGAGGUUGACCUACGAACAACGGAGGUACGAUGGCUAAACACUUGUUUUCAAUUUGUCAAAUCAUUGGGUCAUAAUUCAACAUCAUUAAUUUACAAAUGAGCAAUAGUUCAUAUAUUAUUUUGAACUUGUAUUGCAGUCAUAUGAAGAAUCAAGUGAAGAUGUAAAUGCAAUACCAAAGACAUCGAACCAAGUAACAACACAGUAACUUCACACCUCGAACAAUUUGGUACUUAGUUCCAGGCAUCCCACAACAAAAUCAGCAGCUGACAUCACACCAACCACGUACCAGAAGAUAAGAAAUAGUUUCACCAGCGAAUGGGUUUCAAUGGGGGCAGUAAUGGGAACGAAAGAGUCAGUGUUGAAGUCACACCAAAUCAUACUUCUGAGAACAAAGCACCUAGUAGCAUGAGAAGUUCUAUGUCAAGCAAGAUAGGUCCAAGUUUUGACAACAAUGCAAAUGAAAAAGCUUAGCCCUUGAUAAUGGUCAACAACAUGGAGAAUUUCCAAAGGGAGAAUGAAAAACUAAAAAUCGAGUUGUCCCAAUUGAAUAUCAGGUGUGAGGUUGCUGAAGUAACUAUUGAUUUACUGUCCAAAUCAGUCAACAUUGCUGAAAGUUCAAAUGUACUUGAAGCUGAGAACCACACAUUAAGAAAGGAAAUUGCGGGAUUACGUAAUGGUGAUCCUGAAAUUGGAAUGCCACCUCAACGAUCCAUGGUAAGAGGACUAAAAAUAAACAACAAAAGGUGGUCUUCGAAGAUUUUGAAUGUGAACCUUUGGUCAAAAGGAUACCAACGAACCGUUCAAAAGGGAACUUUUGAGCAAAAAAAAAAAAUGGGGGGGGGGGGAGGGGGGAGUCUGAUGCAUUGAAAAACAAUAAUCGUCAUGCAUGCUGGAUUACGAAGAGGCCAAGUCCAAAUAUCAUUGAAAAAAUAAUAAUUGUCAUGCAUGCCUGAAUACGAAGAAGCCAAGUCUAUCAAAAGCUAUAUGUGUUCAUAGGUGCUGCACAGCAGCUGUACUUGACCAAAAGUUAAAAGCAACAGCCAUGCUCGAAUAAUGGUACAACUAUCCACUGAAUAGUAUACGGGUCUCCCAUCUUGGAAGGAUUUGGUUUGUCAUGAAUCCAUGGUACGAGCCCAAGAAAGGACUAAUCACUAGUCUUUUGCAUGAAUUUGGAUGCAUAUGUGGAACAAAAUAAUAAUAAUAAUAAUAAUAAUAAUAAUAAAAAUAAUAAUAAAGAUGCAUAAAGUUGCACAUCAAAACUAAAGGGAUAAAAAAUCCCACCAUUUUGUAUGAAGAUAUCAGGCAAGCUUCCAAAGCAAAGAGUCUCCACCAAAAGACACCUGCAACAAAUCAAGAAUAAAACAAAAUAUAUCAAAUGAAGUUGCGGAAUGUUCAUUCAAAUCCAAGCAAAACGAAAAAGUAUGAAGCCUUACUGACCGUUAUGUUCUUCUCUCCAAAAAAUAACAAACAGUAAAGCAUGGUACGGGAGAAGCUCGUGCAGAAUAACUGAUCAAAAGAAUUCAAAAAGGGUUUGGAACUUAUCUAAAACCACUAAAAUGGGGGAAUU